UACGUAGGGUGCAAGCGUUGCCCGGAUUUAUUGGGCGUAAAGGGCGCGUAGGCGGCUCGGCACGUCCGUUGUGAAAUCGCCCGGCUCAACUGGGCGGGGGCAGCGGAUACGGUCGAGCUUGAGCAAGCUAGGGGGCAAUGGAAUUCCCGGUGUAGUGGUGGAAUGCGUAGAUAUCGGGAGGAACACCAGUGGCGAAGGCGGUUGCCUGGGGCUUUGCUGACGCUGAUGCGCGAAAGCGUGGGGAGCGAUCCGG
rnacentral:rRNA from 1 species